CGGGCGGGUGAGUAACGCGUGGGUAACCUGCCUUAUACAGGGGGAUAACAACCAGAAAUGGUUGCUAAUACCGCAUAAGCGCACAGGACCGCAUGGUCCGGUGUGAAAAGCUCCGGUGGUAUAAGAUGGACCCGCGUUGGAUUAGCUAGUUGGCAGGGUAACGGCCUACCAAGGCGACGAUCCAUAGCCGGCCUGAGAGGGUGAACGGCCACAUUGGGACUGAGACACGGCCCAG
rnacentral:rRNA from 1 species